AUACGGAGGGGGCUAGCGUUGUUCGGAAUUACUGGGCGUAAAGCGCGCGUAGGCGGCCUGUCAAGUUGGGCGUGAAAGCCCGGGGCUCAACCCCGGAAUUGCGUUCAAAACUGGCAAGCUAGAGACCGAGAGAGGUGAGUGGAAUUCCCAGUGUAGAGGUGAAAUUCGUAGAUAUUGGGAAGAACACCAGUGGCGAAGGCGGCUCACUGGCUCGGUACUGACGCUGAGGUGCGAAAGCGUGGGGAGCAAACAGGAUUAGAUACCCGAGUAGUCC
rnacentral:rRNA from 1 species